AUCUCCGCAGGCAGCUUCUUUCUCACCCAUGCCAUCUCCACUUUCCAGACAGAGGUUCUUCGCGGCAGAGAUUGUCUGCGGCCUGCAGUUCCUGCACAACAAUGGCGUCAUCCAUCGAGACCUGAAACCAGAAAAUAUUCUCCUGGACAGCGUCGGCCAUAUAAGAAUAGCUGAUUUUGGG